rnacentral:rRNA from 1 species
GAUGAACGCUGGCGGCGUGCCUAAUACAUGCAAGUCGAACGCUGGAAAUCUAGCUUGCUCGAUUGAAGGAGUGGCGAACGGGUGAGUAAUACAUAAGCAACCUACCCACGAAGACUGGGAUAAUCUCUGGAAACGGGGACUAAUACCGGAUAGGUAAUCGGAAGGCAUCUUCUGAUUAUUAAAGGUUAAAAACACUGGUGGAUGGGCUUAUGGCGCAUUAGUUAGUUGGUGAGGUAACGGCCCACCAAGACGAUGAUGCGUAGCCGGCCUGAGAGGGUGAAUGGCCACAUUGGGACUGAGACACGGCCCAGACUCCUACGGGAGGCAGCAGUAGGGAAUUUUCGGCAAUGGGGGAAACCCUGACCGAGCAACGCCGCGUGAGUGAUGACGGCCUUCGGGUUGUAAAGCUCUGUUGUAAGGGAAGAACGGUAGAUAGAGAAUAUCUAAAUGACGGUACCUUACCAGAAAGCCACGGCUAACUACGUG